UGUGGUUUUUAUGUGAUGAGAUAUAUGAGAGAUAUUAUUGAAGAAGUGGAAACUAUCGAGAGAGAUUCACUUCGAUCAAUAUUCAUCAAAACACAGUACUCUAGAGAAGAAAUUGAUGAAGUGCGUUCCGAGUGGGCAGAAUGCAUACAAGACUAUAUUUAUGACUAGAAAAGGGAGAAAGCUGGGUUUGCAAGCUAAGUCUAUGAAAUUCUGUAUGCAGAAAAAGGAC